rnacentral:tmRNA from 6 species
GGGGCCGAUCCGGAUUCGACGUGGGUCGCGAAACAACUCAGGGCAUGCCGAGCACCAGUACGCUCGUUAAACCACUGGAACACUACAAACGCCAACGACGAGCGUUUCGCUCUCGCCGCUUAAGCGGUGAGCCGCUGCACUGAUCUGUCCUUGGGUCAGGCGGAGGAAGGCAACUUCCUAGGGGGGCAACCCUCGAACCGCAGCAGCGACAUUCACAAGGAAUCGGUUCGCGCUGGGGUCACACGGCUCGGAUUUAAAUUACGUGAAUCGCUCUGGUCCGGCCUGUCGGUUGGCUAAGUCCAGGGUUAAAACCAAAUAGAUCGACUACGCAUGUAGAACUGGUUGCGGAGGGCUUGCGGACGGGGGUUCAAUUCCCCCCGGCUCCACCA